CCUCCCCCAUUUUUCUAUAAUUAAUAUUUUUGACCGUGUAGUCACACCCUAUUCUCUUUUUCUAAUUACUUCAUUAAGCAUACUAUCUUUUACUAUUCCUAAUAUUACUACACCAUUAGGAUCUGGAUUACUAAGUAAUACAAUCAGAGUUUCCUAAUUGUCAAAUAAGAAACUGAGCAAUAUCAAUAAUUACAACUCAUCAUCUAGCAUCAUUUUCAUAAUAACCAAUUGACUUAUUACAUCCUGA
rnacentral:lncRNA from 1 species